rnacentral:pre_miRNA from 1 species
UCUUAUGGCUGAGCAAAUAUAGCAGUUUCUUGAGAUGGAAUCUACUUCUGGUGAAGAGGCUGUGGA